rnacentral:ncRNA from 1 species
GGUGUGGUGGAGCCGGCGGUCCGAGUCUGUAGUAGGUGAGUGAUGGGGUGACGCAGGAAGGUAGUCCAGCCCGGGCGGUGGUUGUCCCGGGGUAAGGGUGUAGGGCGUCAUGCAGGUAAAUCCGCAUGGCACGAAGCCUGAGACCUGAUGCCGAGCCGAUUGUGGUGAAGUGGAUGAUCCUAUGCUGUCGAGAAAAGCCUCUAGCGAGUGCUGUUGCGGCCCGUACCCUAAACCGACUCAGGUGGUCUGGUAGAGAAUACCGAGGCGUUCGGGUGAACUAUGGUUAAGGAACUCGGCAAAAUGCCCCCGUAACUUCGGGAGAAGGGGGGCCACGGCCGGUGAAGAGUCUUGCACUCGGAGCUGGUGGUGGCCGCAGAGACCAGCGAGAAGCGACUGUUUACUAAAAACACAGGUCCGUGCGAAGCCGUAAGGCGAUGUAUACGGACUGACGCCUGCCCGGUGCUGGAACGUUAAGGGGACCGGUUAGUCACAUUUCGGUGUGGCGAAGCUGAGAACUUAAGCGCCAGUAAACGGCGGUGGUAACUAUAACCAUCCUAAGGUAGCGAAAUUCCUUGUCGGGUAAGUUCCGACCUGCACGAAUGGCGUAACGACUUCUUGACUGUCUCAACCAUAGGCCCGGUGAAAUUGCACUACGAGUAAAGAUGCUCGUUUCGCGCAGCAGGACGGAAAGACCCCGGGACCUUUACUACAGCUUGAUAUUGGUGUUCGGUUCGGUUUGUGUAGGAUAGGUGGGAGACUGUGAAGCAUUCGCGCCAGCGGGUGUGGAGUCGUUGUUGAAAUACCACUCUGAUCGUGCUGGAUGUCUAACCUGGGUCCGUGAUCCGGAUCAGGGACAGUGUCUGGUGGGUAGUUUAACUGGGGCGGUUGCCUCCUAAAAUGUAACGGAGGCGCCCAAAGGUUCCCUCAGCCUGGUUGGUCAUCAGGUGGUGAGUGUAAGUGCACAAGGGAGCUUGACUGUGAGACUGACGGGUCGAGCAGGGACGAAAGUCGGGACUAGUGAUCCGGCGGUGGCUUGUGGAAGCGCCGUCGCUCAACGGAUAAAAGGUACCCCGGGGAUAACAGGCUGAUCUUCCCCAAGAGUCCAUAUCGACGGGAUGGUUUGGCACCUCGAUGUCGGCUCGUCGCAUCCUGGGGCUGGAGUCGGUCCCAAGGGUUGGGCUGUUCGCCCAUUAAAGCGGUACGCGAGCUGGGUUUAGAACGUCGUGAGACAGUUCGGUCCCUAUCCGCUGCGCGCGUAGGAGUCUUGAGAAGGGCUGUCCCUAGUACGAGAGGACCGGGACGGACGGACCUCUGGUGUGCCAGUUGUUCUGCCAAGAGCAUGGCUGGUUGGCUACGUUCGGGAGGGAUAACCGCUGAAAGCAUCUAAGCGGGAAGCCUGCUUCGAGAUGAGGACUCCCACCCCCUGUGUGGGGUUAAGGCUCCCGGGAGAUGACCGGGUUGAUAGGCCGGAUAUGGAAGACCCGUGAGGGUUGGAGUUGACCGGUACUAAUAAGCCGAGGGCUUGACCAC